rnacentral:misc_RNA from 1 species
GAAAUGCGAUAAGUAAUGUGAAUUGCAGAAUUCAGUGAAUCAUCGAAUCUUUGAACGCACCUUGCGCUCCUUGGUAUUCCGAGGAGCAUGCCUGUUUGAGUGUCAUGAAAUUCUCAACCUACCGGUCUUUGCGGAUCGGUAAGGCUUGGACUUGGAGGCUUGUCGGCCCGUGUGGUCGACUCCUCUCAAAUGCAUUAGCCUGGUUCCUUGCGGAUCGGCUCUCGGUGUGAUAAUUGUCUACGCCGCGACCGUGAAGCGUUUGGCUGGCUUCUAACCGUCUCGAUGGAGACAACUUUCUGACCUCUGACCUCAAAUCAGGUAGGACUACCCGCUGAACUUAA